rnacentral:rRNA from 1 species
GACGAACGCUGGCGGCGUGCUUAACACAUGCAAGUCGAACGAAGUGGCGAACGGGUGAGUAACGCGUAAUCAACCUGCCCUUCAGAGGGGGACACCAGUUGGAAACGACUGCUAAUACCGCAUACUGAAGGGUGGGAUUGCGGUGGAUUUGCUAGUUGGGGGGGUAACGGCCCACCAAGGCGAUGAGUAGUAGCCGGGCUGAGAGGAUGAACGGCCACAUUGGGACUGAGACACGGCCCAGACUCCCACGGGAGGCAGCAGUGGGGAAUCUUCCGAAAUGGACGAAAGUCUGACGGAGCAAAGCCGCGUGAGGGAUGACGGCCUUCGGGUUGGAAAGCUCUGUUAAUCGGGACGCGGUACCGGAAUAGAAAGCCACGGCUAACUACGUGCCAGCCGCCGCGGUAAUAC